AUAUUUGAUAAAUUUAGGCAUUGAAUGUUUAUUAGAGAAAAAGUAGAUCCAUAAGCCAAGAGCCAACAUAAAAGGCUAACUGGAAUAGCUUUUUGAUUUUGGCUUAAAAACCGUUUACCAAACACUUUUAUUAGCUAUUUAACCAACCUACACGCAAAAGUCAAAAGCCAACUAAAAGCUAAUGUAAAAACAAACUACCAAACAACCCCCUAAAAAGUCCCUCCAUUAAUUUCCUCCACUCUACACUCCAAUCAUUCCUCAGCCCUCAAUUCUCAGUCCCAAGAUCCAACUGCUACUUGGCAGACCUCACUGUCCCCUAGGACUUCCAACCACCAUUGAUAAACACCCAAAAGCACACAAUUCAAUGGCAAUGUCCUUCACAAUGGGUCUAAAUUUCCUCCUCUUGGUAGCCAUGGUUGCUACAAACCUCCUUUCAUUUUACCAUCUUUCAUCAACUUCUUCCUUCUUCCAUCUUUCUACACCUCCUCAACAAUCUUCCACUGUUCCUCAUUACCUUAUCCGUCAACUUCAAACCAUACGCGCCACCAUUAACCACCUCACGCGCUUCCAACCUUCUCACUCGCCUCCAUCUUCAAACUCCAUUAAAACCCCACCUUCAGACCUUCUUAUUUACUCUAACCUUUCCCCUAUUGCUUCUUCUUGCCAUGAUUACCCUGAUCUUCUUCAUCAAUACAUGAAUUAUACCCCCUUUUCACUUUGUCCUAAAGAUACCCUUCUAGCUGAAUCUUUGAUUCUUCGUGGGUGUCAUCCUUUGCCACGACGUCGUUGUUUCUCGAGAACCCCAUCUAACCCUAGAUUGUCUUCCCCUGAUUCUAAUGUUAUUUGGAGUUCUUAUACUUCUGCUACGUGUAAGAGCUUUAAAUGUUUGAAUCCGAAACUGGGUUUUGACCAAAAUCUUGUUUACGAUCAGUUUUUGGGUUAUAAAUCUGAAAUUGAUCUCACUAUUCCUCAGCUUUUGGAUAUUGCUAAAAGGGCUAAUUCUGUUAUUCGUUUAGGGGUUGAUAUUGGGGGUGGAACUGGGGUUUUUGCUGCUAGGAUGAAGGAGAGAAAUGUGACUGUUUUGACUACUACUAUGAACUUAGGUGCUCCUUAUAGCGAGUAUAACGCGCUUAGAGGUUUGUUGACAUUACAUGCACCACUGCAGCAAAGAUUGCCGUUUUUUGAUGGGGUUGUGGACUUGGUUCGAUGUGGGCAUGCCGUAAAUAGGUGGAUUCCGACGACGGUGAUGGACUUUCUAUUGUUUGAUGUGGAUAGAGUGUUGAGAGGUGGUGGGUUUUUGUGGGUUGAUCAUUUUUUCAGUAAAGGGGCAGAUUUAGAUAAGGUCUAUAAACCAUUGAUUGAUAAAUUGGGGUAUAAGAUUGUGAAAUGGGCAACUGGGAGUAAGAUGGAUUCUAGUGGGAUGAAAAAUGGGGAGGUAUAUUUGACUGCAUUGUUGCAGAAGCCAAAGUCCAGAUGAUUAGAGGAAAAGAGAAAAGUUGAUAUUUCUUCUUAUGUACUCCUAAGUGGUAAGAAAAAGGUGUAUGUAUCCAAAGUUGAAGAUUCAGUCUAUUACACGAGUCCUCCGGUGUAGUGCCGCUGUUCAAGUUCAUCUUCGACUGUGGACAUCAAUUGUUGGAAACUCCUUCCUCCAGUGCUGUAAGUAAACUCCCAAGUAUGAUUGUAGAUGUCCAAGAAAGAAGCAUUCCACCAAGGAGGCACAUAAUGUAUGCGCAACUGCCCAAGCAGGAUACGACAAAUCGACAAUGUGUAUUCGUUGUUCUCCUCUUAUUAUUCAUAUUUAGUUCAGGGUAUUGAGGUAUUCCUACUAAGGUUAAUAAUAAAUAGAAGUACUAUAGGAUAGUAGUAUUUGGUUAUGGAGCUUCUUUGAUUUGAUAGUUUGUGUGAAAAAAUGUCAUAGUGAUAAACCUAAAGAGUUCGUUGUAUUGUUGCCAAGAUACAAGUAUUAAAGGAGAAAAGGCCAGCUUGCAGCUACUUAUUGAAAAGGCCAAUCAGAAUUUUAUCCUUGAACCAGUA